rnacentral:rRNA from 1 species
GUCCCAGUUCAGAUCGCAGUCUACAACUCGACUGCGUGAAGUCGGAAUCGCUAGUAAUCGCGGAUCAGCAUGCCGCGGUGAAUACGUUCCCGGGCCUUGUACACACCGCCCGUCACACCAUGAGAGUCGGGAACACCCGAAGCCCGUAGCCUAACAGCAAUGAGGGCGCGGUCGAAGGUGGGUUCGAUAAUUGGGGUGAAGUCGUAACAAGGUAGC